ACCAUAUAUACGGUAUUGGUACUGUAGAUUUUACAGACCCUGGAGGGUGAUCCCAACCCCACUUCUACUUUGGCACCUAGAAUAGUUUUUUCUCUAUAAGCCAAUAUGUAUUUUAUGUAUACAGUGUAUUGCAUUGGGGGCAUUUAUUUGACAUUGGAACAUGUUUUAAAACACAAAUGUAAUGCAAAUUAACAUUUCUGAACUUCCGUGACCCGGAAAUACUUGUUUUAGUGUUGCUGAUGAGACGCUGGUAGCGCUGAUUCUGUAUAUCAUUUUUUGAAGCGGAUUUGUUUUGUUUGUGAUCAACGUGUUUUUUUUCGUGGACAAAGCCAUAUUCGUUGAAUCCUCAACUAUCAAUCCAUUGAAAAUGUCUCAACUACAGUUACUGCGUGAAUUUUUAAAUGAUCGUGUAAUGGCUGCUGCUGUCGAAAUUUUCGGGGUAGUUGAGAAAACUAGCUGAGUACCAAGAGGAAAAUGAUCGUCUACGGAGACUGCUGCGGAUAGAUUCCUUGCAGCUCUCUCUUGCUGUCUCUGAAGAGGAGGUUCUCCCUGAGCAUCAGCACUGUGAGCAGGAGUGAAGCUUCAGUCUGGGGCAAGAGAACACUGAAGCCACACAGAUUAAAGAGGGGCACAGGGGCACAUCAGUCAGGAGGAAGAACAGCUUCAAGAGCUCUUUGAUACCAAACACACAAUAUUCACUCCUGCCUGUGUGACAAGUAAAUGUGGUCAGGAGGACCCCUUGACUCCUCCUCAAAUCCAGACUGUGGAGAACAGAGAGUGUGACCCUAAACAAUUGAAUCUCACACCUUUUGGCACUGUGACUCAGCUAAAGGCUCUCAAUAUUCCCUGUGACCCUCUAAAUAAUCAAAACGAUAGCAUCCAGCCACAGCACAGCCGAAAGCAGUGACGCAAUAGGACUCGAUAGCAGCCCAACAUUAGAUCCCAGCCCACCACUGGAUCACAACCCAUCAUUUAAGAAACACAGAUACAAACCCAGCAACACAGCUAUAAAAACUCUCAGCUGCUGUGUCUGUGGUGAAACCUUUGCUCUAAAAUCUGACCUGCAGAUGCAUGUGACUCUCGCCAAGAAGAAACCCAGUGAAUGCCAAUUCUGCAAAAAUUUCUACAACUCUACCUGCAAACUGAAGGCCCAUGUCAGACUGUGUCAUGGUGGGAAAACCAGCACCUACCCCUUUUUUGACAAGACCUUCAAACUUGAAGGAGUUCUGUCCAAGCACAUGAUGAUUCACACAGGAGAUAAAUGAUUUAGCUGUGGUGACUGCGAGAAAAGCUUUAAUCGCAGGGGGAACCUAACUCAACAUAUACCGACUCACACAGGGGAGAAAUCAUUUAGUUGUGCUGACUGUGGGAAAAGCUUCAGUCGCAAGAGGAACCUAACCAAACAUGUUUGGACUCAGACAGGAGAGAAACCAUUUAGCUGUGGUGACUGCGGAAAGAGCUUCAAUCGCAAGCAGUUCCUAAACAUGCAUAAAUUGGCGUUAUGGCUGGAAAAUGCCAUUGGGCCUGUUUUUAUGAGGAAAUUGCAAACUAAAGUGCGUUUUACACUAGCGCCACCUAAACACCAGCCCAAUAUAGAGCCCUAUGUGAUAAAACAAGCAAUGUGUAGUGUAGAGAAUCAUUGUAGCAUCUAAACAGCUGUGAAAUAUAAUUUUAAAAAACAAAAAUAUUGUAUUUUCAGCUGUUUUGAAGCUGGUGUACAAUACCGAAAGUAAAAGACGCAAUAAACUUAAGAACGGAAGCAGAGAAAUAGUGCACAUAGAACAGAUCUACCACUUUUUAGACUUGCUUUCAAUGAGAAUGACACAUUUAUAACUUACAUUUCUAUGUGAAUUUGGUCAGGUCAAUAAAAAGUUAAAUAUUGCUGCUUUCAUUUUUUUCCCCCAUAGGUAUGGCAUAGGUAUUUAGGGCUCCUGAGUGGCGCAGCCGUCCAAGUCACGGCAUUUCAGUGCACGAGGCGUCGCUACAGACCCUGGUUCAAUUUCAGGCUGCAUCACACCCGGCCGUGAUUGGGAGUCCCAUAGGGACACAAUUGGCCCAGCGUUGUUAGGGUUUGGCUGGGGUAGGCCGUCAUUGUGAAUUAGUUAUUAACUGACUUGGCCUAGUUAAAUAAAGGUUACAUUUAAAAAAUGAAAAUGGCACCAUUCUCCAUGCACGGUUAUUUAUAAACUGAUAAGGGAUAUUGAUAAGAGCAUAUACUUUAUUACUGCGGAAAACACAUGUGAAGCAAACUCAGAUACAAAUCAACGUGAAUGGUAUUUUUCCCCUUUUCCCACUGUGAAGUAAGGAAUGCUGUCUUUAUGAAGAAUUGUAAUUGUAUACUUAUAACUUGCAGGAUUGCAGAUAAUGUACACUAUUUCCCCUAUUAUAAUUAUAUUGUACAAUACUUCAAACAUUACCAUUGAAGAACUGAAUGUGUCAACUUUUAGAAUGAACCAUAGUAUUUGUUUUUUUGUUGCGUAAAGGCUCUGCAACCAUAUUUUUCCUUUUUAGUAGCCUAGGAUUCAUAAAUACUUCCCUUUAACAUAAAUAAUGUGCAAUAUCAGUGUGGUUUUAAAUCUACCCUUGGGUUCUGAAACUGAGAUCAAUAUGCCUGUCUUUCAUUGAUCUCCAUAUUCUGAAAGCAGUCGCUUCCUACUGUUCAGGAGUAUUUCUCAUUCAUUUUGACCCAAUGCUGCUCGUUCAUGAUAUUGAUUGGAUCUUCUGGGAAGUAAACCACCUAGUCAGCCUUCUUCCACCUCACAAACAUUUCACGACUGAGACCCUCUCUUACUGACCCCACUGCUGAAACCCUCAUUCACGCCCUUGUUGUAUCCGGCCUGGACUACUGCAACACUAUUCUCUACCGACUCCCCGACAAAACACUGGACAGACUUCAACACAUUCAAAACACAGGUGCACAAGUCCUCUCACACACCAGACCUUGACCACAACUCUCAUAAAACUUCACCGGCUCCCCGUUCACUACAGAGUCAUCUUCAAAUUGCUUGCAUACGAAGUGUUCAAUGGACACAUACCUCACUGACCUCAUGCACCCAUACACUCCCACCCGUUCACUGCGCUCCUCUGACACUGGCCUCCCCACCAACCCUCGCACCAGAUUUCGCUCCAUGGGAGACCGACCAUGCUUUUAGUAGUGCAGCCCCCAAUUCUGGAACACCAUCUCCAUCUCAGAACCUCACAAUCCAUACACACAUUCAAGUCCACACUAAAGAGACACCUUCACACAGGCAUGUCUUUUAUCUUCUGUCUAGUUCACUUAAAUGGUUAGUCUGUCCUUAUGUUUUGUGUACUUUUAUGUACUUGCUUAUUUUAAUGUGAUUUUAUAGAUUUAAAUAUAUAUAUAUUUUUUUACAUGUGCUGAUUAUCUUGCUAUGGACUCUAUUUAGUCCCUGUCGCUGAAGCGUUACAGAUUGUAUGACAGGCAUUUUGAAGGUAAUUUCCGAUUAGCCGACAUAUGCAUUGUUUACCCUGAAUGCAGUUUCCGCUAAUGUGGGGACAUUGAAAUUUAAAAGGUAAUCACGCUGUAAAGCUGAACUUCCGUAAUACGGAUUAAAUAGAGCCUUAUUUAAAGUGACUUUGGGUGUCUUGAAAAGCGCUUAAAAUGCAAAGGAUUAGUAUUAUGAUUUACUGUCGACUCCUGUUAAGUGCAUUUUAUAUAAGUGCAAACUCUAGGCUCUAUUGAAUCCGUAUCACGGAAGUUCAGCGUUACAGUGUGAUUGAAAUGUGAAGGCAAUGUUAGCGGAGACUGCGAUUACUAUAUGUCGGCUCAACCUUUUACAUUUUAUAUUGUUAAAUCUGUGAGGCUUCAGCGAUACAGAUGAAUAAAACCCUGUGUCAAGUGCGUUACACCGUUUUCCCAGUCCCAAUUCAACAACAUUCUUUGUAACUAUUUAUAUCUGCAUUCACUGGUUUAGCACACACUGUCACAGUCACCAGUUUUUACAAUGGACUUGUUUGAGUGGAAAGGCUGAAGCAACCGACUGCAAACAAAAAUCGAGUCAAGUUGGGGAGAUGCAUCUGCUACAGCCGAAAGUUGGACACUGAUGUGGUUUCCAACAGCGAGGCUCAGUGCAACAUGGCAGUGCUGCCGUUGUUUAUGAAAGUUGAAAUAAACAUGUCCCCAUAUCUCACACUCACAAACUGUAAAUGGACUGAAUAUGUGUACAUUGUACCAUCAAUUGGGGAGAGAGAGACUCAAAAAAUCACAUUAAUUUGUACAUAUCUGCUGUAUACAUAUGAAUUGCAGCAAAGCUGCUUCCUCUUUCAGUCAUGGCUUUCGUCCCACUCGUCAAGUGUUUUUGUUUGACCCGCACGAGUAGUGCCUCCCACAAUGCAGGCGAUGACCGCAAACUGCAGCUGGCGAGGAGCAACUGCAGAAAAUUGAAGUCGACUGCAGUCGAAACUUCACGACCUUUGAUGGUUGUUGUAAAGUUCAUGUAGGCUCAAGUCGGAUCCUCUUUGUCCCCAUAAUGCGAUGUACUUUGAAAGGCUUGACAAAGGUGAUCCACUCGAAUGCGCCCAAUGUGUUGUCUUUCAAAUUAAGUUCAUGCAAGAAAUGAUCAUUCCAGAUCACCUUAUUACUUAUUAUAACUUUCCCACGUGUAGU